AUGAGAGAUGUAAUGUUUGUCUCUGUUGUGUUGAAGUCCAAUCAAGCAGGAGAGACCAGCCUCCCCUGUUCCCAGCUGUGUGUCCAUGAAGAGUGACUGGUCUAUGGAACUACCUUAUACAUUUUCUACUGAACAAAGAAACCAACAGGAGAGAUCAAGAGUCAGAUAUUCUCAGUGGUCAGUCUUCCCAGAGUCAUCAAACAGACCUGGCCUCCAUAUUCAGUUUGCUUGAAGAGAAUAUUAUGACAUUUGUGAAGAACGAGCUGAAGAUGUUCAAGAGGAUUCUUAGUCCAGAACUCCCAGAAGGCUUUGAGAGUCAGAAGCAGGAUAAGGAAGUGGUGGAUGCUGAGAUUCUUAGUCCAGAACUCCCAGAAGGCUUUGAG